AAUACCACAAGGGAGUGCCUUUUGGCUGAGAUCACAGAUGUGAAAUCCUUAUCAACCUGAUCUGGUUAGUACCAGCGUAGGAAUUGUGCCCAAUAAGACA
rnacentral:ncRNA from 2 species